ensembl:lncRNA
GAAGUCAUCCUCAAAGUCAGCCUCCUGGGGGGAGAAGGACAGAAAGAAGUUCUGGAGGAGUAAAUAGACGUGCCCAGCACAAUGCGUUAACCAGUCUGGCUGUCUGAGAGCAGCUCCUGCUCUGGAGUUCAGGGAUCAUCUCUUCUUCUACAGAAAACAUCUGCGAGAGUAAAUGACGGAGAUGAAAGAUCUUGGCAAAGGGCUAUUUUUCUUUGCUUGGCUUAAAGGGGGCCAGAUGAAGCCUUCAGCCUCACCCUCGUCCGCCCCAGCCUGACUCCCUCCCCCGCCUCCCAGGGAGGAGAGAAAUGGGAUCUGAAUGAAGACAGACCAGAAGGUGGCCCAGCCGGCCCCAAGUCCCCAGGCAGGGGAGGUUGUUUUUCCAGUGGAACAGGCUGGCCUGGAGGAAAAGGCCGUGGAAAGAAGACCAGCAAGCUUGGGCUUCUGCAGCUGCUGCCGCCCGCCGUGUUUUUCGUGCCGGCUCUCUGCUCUCACUGCCCUCACACGCUCUGGGCAGCACGACCUCGUCCGCAGCAGACUGUUCUGGGCUCUGGGGCUCAUCACGGAGGAGACACUACUCCGCCCCUCGCUUCCCUCCUUCAGGCUCCUCUCUCCUGAGGGCUGGGGCCGUUUCUCAGGGAGUCCCAGCCGAGGCUUGACAUGUUCUCUUUGACCUCCGAGGAACUGUGUGGUUUUGGAUAAGUUAGGAACUUCUCCGAUCCUCAGUUUCGCUGUCUGUGAAAUGGGGAUAAUGAUACCUACUUCACACAGGAUGAGAUGAAACAGCAAAGCACGCUCCACACGAAACGUGGCCCUUCAUGCCUACUUAGUAAAGGGAUCAGUGCAAGACUCUUAGCCACACAAGGCUCUUUCUAAGCUGCAGCCAGCCCCAAUUCAUCUCCCGCGCCUACUCAGACACCUGCCAUGGCCAGGGACAAUUGCCUCCAGGGGACACUUAGCAAUGUCUGGAGAUAUGGCUGACCGUCACAACUCUGGGGAGGAAAGGACCGAUAUUAUACCAUUGGAGUGGAUGUCAGGUUGGGCAUGAACACACAUCUCCACAGUAGCACCUCUUUUUUGAUUAGACAGAGGCGUGGGAUGGAGCAGUAUCGAGUGAAUUCCUCCAAUACACGCAUACAGCAGGAGUCAACCCUUAUUAGGGCAGAGGACUCAAGGCCCAGCUUCACGGCCUACCCGGCUAUGGCCUACUUGGAGAUGGUACAGACAGAACCUGUGCAAAUGAUUAAAGCUCUGGAUGCCUAGGCCUGAUGAAGAAAGGCAAAGGAAUGGACAAUGUUUAACCUCAAGCAAAUGAUGGCUGAAGCAAGUCCUAAUGGUUAUGUUUCAGUACCAUGGGUGAUUUCUAAAUGGAGGAAGUGACCAGCCACUCUUUGGCACCCAGGACCCAAGAAAAUGAAGCCCAUGGGGGUGAAGGGAAGGAUGGGGGUUCAGUGGCUCCCAGGAUGGAGCAAGUAAAUGAAGGGAUGACAAGAACUCAUAGGAGCUCAUUGCUGAGAGGCCUAGAGGUCCCUGUUUCUUCCCUCUUCCUUUGGUUCUAUUUCUGCUCCCCUGCUGGCCCUGUCGGAGAGCUAGGGACAGGGCAGUCCAAGGUUCAGGCCUUGCUUCUAGAACUUUCCUUUGAACUGGAAAAGCAGGAAAGACAAGAGGAGCCUGGGAGGCAGAGGGCAGGAGUAUCGGGGAGGAAAAAAAGGCGAGAAAGAAGGAGAAAGGAAAGCAAGAGCGAGGCGGCCUCUGGAGAGACAUCAGGAAAAUGUCAAGGUCUCAGCAUCUGGAAAGCAGACCAGGGGCUAUAUUUAGACUGCCAUGACUUGCAAUAAUUUGUGCGAGGGGGGAAAAAGGAAAAUGCGAAGUUGGCGGGGAGGGAAUGAGUUAUAAGCAAAGAGGGGCUUGAUGGGGAGAGCAGUGCCCAAAGCCUCAGUGCCCUUAGGAAAGGGCAUCUCAACGGUGUGGAUUGUCCUGUGUGAGCCAUGGUGUUUACAGAGCCGAAUCCAGCUCAUGCCCUUGUCCCCUGUUGGGUCCUGUGCUCCCCACUGAUAACAUGGGUGCAUUCCCGGAUGUGCCAGGGGACCCUGGGCCAUGGCACCGAGAUGUGUCAAUGAGGAGGCAGGGGGUUUUCUGGAGAGUGAGGGCCAACGCAGGGGCUCUGCAUGGGGGCUCAGAGCUACAUGAGCAGCCCUCUGUAAAUCCUAGGAAUUUGUAUAUAUUGCUGAGGCCUUUCUCCAGCUGGAUUAUAAAUAGAGGAUUAGUUCAAAGGCAGGCAGCCUUUUAAAGAGAUGGUGCCAAAUGGAGCCUGCAAACCAAAUACAGUAAAACCUCCUUAAGCCCCUGCUGCUUUAUCCGAAAUAGCAUAUACGUCAAAGUAACAUUAUUUCCCUGGGUGAUGAGGUGCCCUACAGUCCUUUAGGAAAAAGUCUAGAGGGUUCAAAUGGAACUAUAGUAAAACCUCAGUUAUCUAGAAAGCACUGUAUCAUUCUGGAUAGUGGAGAUUUCCAGCAGGCUAAAGGUUUGCCAUUUGCGACAUCACUUUUUUUUUUUUUCGGUCUUUUUAGGGUCACACCUGUGGUAUAGGGAAGUUCCCAGGUUAGGGGUCGAAUUAGAGCUGUAGCUGCCAGCCUAUGGCCACAGCCACAGCAACUCGGGAUCUGAGCCACAUCUGCAUCACAGCUCACAGCAAUGCCGGAUCCUUUAACCCACUGAGUGAGGCCAGGGAUCGAACCCGCAUCCUCAUGAAUCCUAGCUGGAUUCUUAACCCGCUGAGCCACAAUGGGAGCUCCCAGCAACAUCACAUUUAAAAUGCAAUAAUUUUUGAUGGCAAUCUUUCUAGAAAACAGUCGCAUACUUCCCAGGGUUUAAGAUAGAAGAUACUGAUUUUAAUUGAACAUUGUGGUUCUGUUUAGAGUAAUUUUUAUAAACUUUAGGCCCUGUGCUGCUUUUCCAGUAGGUCCCAAACCUUUGCGAUAUGUGUGGCCCUAUCACGGUGCUUUUGGGAGAGGUUCCUGGGUUUUCUUUUUAUCAGGGAGCGUAUCACUUUACCUGUAGUGACCUCAUGGCCUAACUUCUUUUAGCCUGUUCUGGGUUAAGAAACCAGACAUGCAAACUCAUUAAAAUUCUGUGUAAACAAAAAGUAAAUAGAAUAGGAGUGAGGAAUUCAGCCUUUUCUAUUCCUACGGGAUUCAGUCUUUCUGAGAGGGUAAGAGUUCAUCUAGUCCUCUGGGGACAGUUGCUUUGAAUUAUAUGCUGCUUUAAAUAAACCAAUAUGCGCCUAUGCAGAUAAUUCUGGCCACUUAGAUGUCACUUGGCUCAUCUCCAGAUUCUGGUCUGAUUUUAGAUAGUGAGGUGUCUGGGUAGUUGUGUUUUGGGUAGAUGAAGCCUUACUCUCCUUUGAACCCUAUGUUCUCAAGGCCCUUGCAUUUGAGGUUGGGUUUUUUGCCUGCAUCUACAUGAGGCUGGUAGUGUGAUUAAAGCCAGCACAGAAGAAAAGGCCAUGAACCCACUUGUUCAUGAAUGUCUUAUUUUCUAUGUGCUGGAAGAGGAUGGGGGUUUCUGGGCAGGAUGCUGAGCAGAAGAGCCACAUGUAACAAAGAAUGGGAGGAUAGCGACUCAGAGGAAUUGAGUUGGGUGUUGGUUCUGGGUAGAAACUGGAUAUUCAGAAUAGAUGCAAACAGGCCAAGCCAACCAGGGAAGUCCUUAAAGUCCUUGGAUGGUUUCUGGUAUCUUCUGGUUACCGCUUAAUCCGAAGAUACCGGAAAGUCUUCAAAUAGCUAAUCUCCCAUCAGCCAAGCUUGAUGGUGAAAUUAGGCUCCACCAGGGGUAGUGACUUUCUAUUCUUCCAGGCCAACAGGCCAAAGGAGACUCUCAGAGGCCCUGUGGGUCAGGCUACCACCUCCAGGGAGCCCUGUGUCAAAGCACCUUGAGGCAGGAGGAGUCCCAGAUAAUUUCAAAGACUGUCCUGAGUGGUGCGAUUACAUUUUUCUUCCGUAGAAGAGCUCAGGGUCAGACUUAUUUUAUUUUCAUUUCAGUGUCAGAUUAAAAGACAGUUGGUGGGAGUUCCUGCUGUGGCUCGGGGAGUUAUGACCCCAACUAGGAUCCAUGAGGAUGAAGGUUCAAUCUCUAGCCUUGUUCCAUGGGUUAAGGA